rnacentral:rRNA from 1 species
AACGAACGCUGGCGGCAGGCUUAACACAUGCAAGUCGAACGCAUCCUUCGGGGUGAGUGGCAGACGGGUGAGUAACGCGUGGGAACGUGCCCUUCAGUUCGGGAUAACCCAGGGAAACUUGGGCUAAUACCGGAUACGUGCGAGAGCAGAAAGAUUUAUCGCUGAAGGAUCGGCCCGCGUCUGAUUAGCUAGUUGGUGGGGUAAUGGCCCACCAAGGCGACGAUCAGUAGCUGGUCUGAGAGGAUGAUCAGCAACAUUGGGACUGAGACACGGCCCAAACUCCUACGGGAGGCAGCAGUGAGGAAUAUUGGACAAUGGGCGCAAGCCUGAUCCAGCCAUGCCGCGUGAGUGAUGAAGGCCUUAGGGUUGUAAAGCUCUUUCGUCCGGGACGAUAAUGACGGUACCGGAAGAAGAAGCCCCGGCUAACUUCGUGCCAGCCGCCGCCGUAAAAC